UCUUUCUUUUUUUCCCUCUCUUAAUUUCUUUCUUUCUUUCCUUCCUUCUUUCUUUCUUUCUUUUUUCUUGGUCUCAGCCAUGUGGACGUGAUGGGGAAUGGAGGGAAGUCGUGACAGCAGGCUGCUCAGGCGGCGGACUGGCAUUCCAGGCAGGCUGUGGCUGAGCCAGCGUGCGCCUCAGUCCUCCGCAGCUCCGCCGGCGGGAAGGUGGAGCCAGCCGCUUCUCCCCGAAUAACUGGGAGAUGAAACAGGAAGCUCUAUGACACAGUUGAUCGAAAAUGACACAGACACAGAAAAAUCAGGACUCGGCCCCCUCCAGUGCCUCUACCUGCUGCCCACAGCCGGAGUGCAGAUGGCAAAGUAAGAAGCAGAAGGGGAAAGGACUUGGCUGCCAGCAGCUUCCCCAUCCUUUAUGGAUUGGAUCUGUAAAGGAGACUCUCAGAAGCUGUAGUUAUUUCAAGCUAUGAUGACCCGUUUUGAGUUCAUUUUUCUACAUGGCAUGAGGUGAUGCCGAGCGGCUCUUCGGGUGCCUGAGGGCCAUUCCUACAGGAGCCCCAUGCCUACAGCUCGCCAGUUCCCAUCCUUCGCCCAUUUGUCGAUGUGCGGCCUUUUCAUGAUGGAUAGGAAUCUGUGUACAUUGGGGAUAGUCACACUUUGCCUGUGAUAUUAGUCAAAGUAGUUUUUCCCAGUUUGACAUUUGCCUUUUGGGCUGGUUUAUGGUAGGGUUGGUCCCAGAGAGAAAACUUGAUUUUUAUAUCGUCGUUUUCAUCAAUUUUUUUCUGUUUGGGGUUUUAUGUUUUGUGUUUGUGCUACAGCAUUCCUCCUUCUGAUGUGAAAAGGCAGGCCCCGGGGGCCUGAAGGGGAGCAUUCAGGCUGCUUGCCCUGCCUAAAAGUCCAGACACUUGGGCUGUGAGGGAAGGAACCCAACUCGGAGUAGCUGGGAAAGAAAUGUACGGGUCACCGCAAAAAGUGCAGGACUGGCUUGACUCUGAUGUCAACAGGACUAGGUCUGAGUCACCCCGUCUCUCUUGAGGGGGGCUCUCCACCAGGGGUGGCUUGAGCUGGCUGCUAGCCGCUUAGCUCAAAGACUGUCCUCUCAGCAGCCCAGGUGACAGACAUGGGAGUGGCGUGACGGGACCAUCUGCCCAUCCUGGACUGGUCACUGGACAUGGGGUGUGCUGGUUCGUGGUUCCGGGUCACUGGUCCAGGCAGUCCUCCAAACUGGUCCUGGAAGGAUGUUGGUGCCGGAGAAGGGGGAGCAGAUCCUGAAUGGAGGUCACGGCGGGUGUGCCUCACGCCGUGUUCUUUCCCUGACCUUCUACACCUUCGUUCUUCUUUCCUGGAAGUAUAAGAUACAGCUGUUGUCCCGCUGAACUUGCCACCCUGGCCAAGCGAUGUCACUUCAAGCCUGAGAUGAAGAUGUUGUGAAGCUUAACUAAAAUAACAGACCUCAAGUGUCUGUCACCUUGUGCCCAGCAACUCACUGCUCAUUGGCUCAACUAGGUUAAAAGAUUCUGAUCACAGUGCCCCAGGACAGAAAGAGCUCGCCUCCCUCUGCAGCUCCAGGUAUGACCCAGCAGCAGAGGAAAACAACAAGAAGAAGGAGGAGAAGAAAGAGAAAGAGGACAAAGGGAGGGGAAAGGAGAAGGAGAAAAAUGAAGAGAAGGAAGAGGAAGAAGAAAAUUGGCAGGUGAAAGACAGGCAGGAAGAGCCAGUAAGAGGCCAAAUUACACCAUCAUAAGACCCCGUGAUGGCCCAAGGACAGCCUAUUAUAAGCUGCAGCCACCGGGGUAAAAAGAAUCUGAGGACUCUGCCCCCCUAGCUGAAGGAGGUACAAAUGGAGACCAGACCCUUUGAACAUUAAAUCCUCUCCCCUUGCCCAGCCUCUGUGACAAUUCUCAUUGAAAAUAACCCAGAAAUAAGUUUUGAUGGCAUGUGUUGCUAUGCAAAUGCACCCACAUUUGCAUUUUUCGUUCUGAAUAAUAUUUUACUAGUGAACCUCUCUCAGGCCAUUACCCUAUUUCUAUUCUCUCAUUUACUAAUUUUAUCCAGGAGGUAAAUUGUGCCCAACUAAGUAAGAGACUACGUUUUUCAGGCCCUUUGCUGGUCACUGCAGCCAUGUGACUAAUUUCUAACCAAUGAGAUAUAAGCAGAAGUAUGGGAUUUAUGAGAAAGUAAGUUAAAAGGAACUAGCUCAGGGUGCCUGGGUGGCUCAGCUGAGUGACUGCCUUCAGCUCAGUUCAUGACCCUGGGGU